GGAAGGAUCAUUAACAAAUCCUGAAUUGUUGUUUGUAUGGGGUGGUGUAUGCGUGUCAUUUGAACAAAGGAGUGUAUAUUCAUUCAUUUCUAUGUUCAUCAUUUGAUAAUCAUUCACUCUUCAUAACAACAACAAUACACACGUUCCAUGUGCAUUCAUUUGUGCAUGAUAAAACACAUUUCUACGAAUCAUCUGAUUGUCACAUAAUCUAAUUCAUAAAAAGACUUUUAACAAUGGAUCUCUAGGCUCUUGCAUCGAUGAAGAACGCAGUGAAGUGCGAAAAGUAAUGCGAUUUGCAUGCUCUGUGAGUCAUCGAAUCUUUGAACGCAUAUGGCACCUUUUGACUUUUGUGAAAAGGUAUGCCUGUUUGAGAAUCAUUUUAUAUUAUAUUUCUUUUUGUUUCUUUUGAUUGAUAUUCAUGAAUUCAUUUUUAUGAAUCCUCUAUCAAAGGGUAAAACAAAUUGACAUAUCAAUUGGACUUUUAUCAUUAAUCGUCUUGAAUUCUGAAAUGGAUUGACUUGUUGAUAGAUAUAAAUGGAAUAGAAGAAUGGAUGAUGAAUUCAUUUGAUAUUGUAUAUAUUAUUUUAACAUGUCAAACAACCCAUAAUCAUGAUCUCAAAUCAGGCAAGGUUACCCGCUGAACUUAAGCAUAUCAGUAAGCGGAGGAAAAGAAACUAACAAGGAUUCCCUCAGUAACGGCGAGUGAAGUGGGAAGAGCUCAAAUUUUAAAUCCAAGAGUGUAACAACUCUUUGAAUUGUAGUUUAUAGAUAUGAAUCAUGGUUGAUGUAUUGAUGUGCAAGUCUCUUGGAAUAGAGUAUCACAGAGGGUGAGAAUCCCGUUUGGAUAUCAAUGUCAUCGAUCGAUUGAAUCAUGUCAAAGAGUCGAGUUGUUUGGGAAUGCAGCUCAAAAGGGGUGGUAAAUUCCAUCUAAAGCUAAAUAUUGGCAAGAGACCGAUAGCAAACAAGUACUGUGAAGGAAAGAUGAAAAGCACCUUGAAAAGGGAGUUAAAUAGUGCGUGAAAUUGUUAAAAGGGAAACGAUUGGUACCAGUAUCGAUUUCAUAUUAGUUAAAUAGUCGAGUCAUCGUCUAUGAUUUCUAAUGUGAAUGAGUCAAUGAUAGUUUGUGAUUUCGCAUGACUCGCUAAAGAAAGAUGACGUCUUUUGACGUUUUAUAGUCUUUGGAAUUAUGAGUGCGUCACGACAGACUGUAUUUAAAUAUUCAUGGUAAUCUAUUCAAUAUAUCAUGUUGGUUGAAACAUUCAUGAACAGCAUGCUGAUUAUGAGUGUCCAGGGCAACAUUAAUUGUAGCACAUGGUGACAUUGACGAAAUGGUUCUAAACGACCCGUCUUGAAACACGGACCAAGGAGUCUAACGUAUAUGCAAGUAUUUGAGUGGUAAACUCGAAUGCGAAAUGAAAGUGAACGAUGGGAAUAUUGAAUUAUGCACCAUCGACCGAUCUUGAUAUCUUUUGAUAGAUUCGAGUCAGAGCAUAUCUGUUGGGACCCGAAAGAUGGUGAACUAUGCCUGAAUAGGGUGAAGCCAGAGGAAACUCUGGUGGAAGCUCGUAGCCGUUCUGACGUGCAAAUCGAUGGUCAAAUUUGGGUAUAGGGGCGAAAGACUAAUCGAACCAUCUAGUAGCUGGUUCCCUC
rnacentral:misc_RNA from 1 species